rnacentral:lncRNA from 1 species
GGGGCCUCGAACCCUAAAUGUGUGAUUGAGACAUUCUGCUUUGCGAUGAGCACUCUGACCAAGUCUAAACAAGUUCCUUCUAAUUUACGACAACAAAGAGGACAAAAUAAGUAUCCUUUUGAAUCGGACUCAAGUAAGAACUAUCUAAUACGAUUAUUUUUCUGCCAAUUUUGGUCUAAUUGCUAUAGGCCUAAAAGAUUAGGCUUAACGGGGCGAACACGUCAGAAGUAUUUUCGCUUCGCAGGUUGUUCUUGGUAGAGAAAUUCCCAGAAACUCUCCCCCGGAUCGUACGGGUAGUUGUUUUGCUAGAGUUAAACGUUGGCUAAGGUUGUAGCUAUAAAUCGUAUCGAAAAUCUGAUAGAGACGUUUACUGCGGGGUUGGCUAGAGCGGAUUACAUACAGCCUUUUAAAAUUGCUAACCGGGGACAUGCGGAUAGCCAGAGGGGUUAAACUAUGUUUCUGUUAGAAACGGGGGUAUACCGAAACGAGUAAUCGGGUUGUCCCAUUUUUAUUUCGAAAUUUUUACGAACAUCAUUUGAUGCGAUAUGUCCGGAUUGUACCUGAUGCUACACAAAUGCGUUGUGACGAUUUGCUUUCGACGUACUGUAGAGCGCUUGUUCUUUAACGCAACAGCGAUUAAGACAAAAAGAAAGCUUAUUUGUUACUAAUUGGACGUUAGAUCACAAUAUUUUAUCAAUUUUAAAUUUACUUUUGGUGUAUUUUUAAAAGUUUAAUGUUUAUAUUUUCUUUAAACAUCAAAACAAGGUUUGAUUACUGAAGGUCGAUCCAUUAUAAAAAAAUAAGUUUUGAGUCUAAGAGUUUAGCCCAAAAUAAUUUUGAUCUAUUGCAUUUUGAUGAUAAUUUUAUAUACAAUAUUUUAAUAUUUAGUAGAAUCCAUUAAAAUAGACAAAAUUUUGUAUAACAACA